CAUGACACAAAAACCAUUCUUCCAUCAGAUUGGAUUUUGCACCUGAUCUAUGCAUCGCACAAAAACCAUUCUUUCAUCAGAUUGGAUUUUGGACCUGAUCCAUGCAUUGCAUAAAAACCAUUCUUUCAUCAGAUUGUAAGUAUUAAAUUUCUUCAUCAUUUUCAUAGAUAACUUCGGUUCACGAAUUGACUCGAAAAAUUGAAAUCCUGGCAAAUAUUA